CUCGGUUGUUGCCCUGGCCCCCUGACGUUGCUUGAUCCGCUCGGUUACUGCCCCCCUUAUGCCUUAGAAUCACGAUAUUCACGAUUCCAUUCCAUUCGAUGUAGUCUUUAAACUGUAGACCAUCGUAAUUUCUUUUCUUCCUCCUUUCUCUUUGUUUCAACUCCACCCCUUUCUGUCAUCCCUGCUUUGCUUCGCCACUUUCUCUUCAAUGCGAUGCUCCGUUAAUAGAAUUAUCCGGUUUUCGUGUAAAUCAAUUCGAUGUUUCUAGUCCAAUGAUCGUUACCCAUGAUAAAUUCGAGAAUAAUGUCGCGAACAUGGUUAUCAAUUAUUUAUAUUUAAUUUUUGUUUAUAUGUAACGAAAUAAGACAGUUGGUAGAAUUAGUAGAACAACAAGUAUUAGAUAUAUAUAUAUGUAAUUAACGAACGGUGAACAUUUCGAAAUAAUUUCAACUUUUCGAAUACUACGAAAACUCAAACCGCUUCAAACAUGAAGUAAGAUGAGAUAUUUAAGGGACUCGAGUUGGAUAAAAAAGCCUUAUAUAUUCUAUUGGAUUCUUUCAUUUAUUACAAUAAAAAUUAGAGAUUAUGUUCAUCAUACAGAUACGUAUAUAUGUAUGUACAUGUAUGUAAUAUAAUACAUUUUAUUACAGGCAGUAUAUAUACGUAUAGUGACCUAUCUAUAUAACAUAAUCCUACUAAAACCGUUGUAAAACGUAAAAUGUCAAAAGUGUAAUGUUAAUGUUCGAUUAAUUGAUUUAUUACAUUAGUCAUUAGGUAAUUUUUGCAGGUGAACCUAACUAAUGAAUAUAAUUGUCGAUUUGUCUAUAUGAUGGGAUUGCAAAAAUUGAUCAAAUGGAAAAGAAAACUUGACACAUUUACAAAAAUGAUAGGUACAUGUUAUAAAUUUACGAGAGGUAGACCUAUGGGCAAUGGGGGCAUACUUUCUCGUUUUGAAACCUUCUCGGCUGUUUGAAAAAACUAAUGUUCGCACUUUAAAUCAUUCUCCUCGCGUAAUUUUGUCUCUUUUGUUUUCUCCAUCAACGUUAGACAUUGGAACGGUUUAAUCCCCUGCCAUUGAAACAGCACCAUUGAAAACUUGAAAUUGUAGCUUUGAUUUCUUUAAUAAAAUUAAGGGUUCUAAUUUCUAGUAGUAGAAUUUAUUAAUUACAUAAACGUUUGUUAUAUAUAUUUCAACGGUCUCAUUUUCUGAGCCUGAUAAAUUGAUAACGUAACAGACGAGGACGAAUAAUGUGUAGCAUUUAUUGAUUUCAGUUUUUAAUGCAACAUUGAAAUACGUUCAGUGUACAGUAAAUUGUCCGGAAAGAAGGCCUUCGAUCAAUGUUAUCGAUUGUACCGCAAAAGGAAAUAGCUGUUCUUUUUUUGAUGUUCGUUUCUUCUUCUGCUUUUGCUGUUAUCAUCGAAUUGCCAACCUCUUCUCGCCUCUUUUCUUCAAUGCAUUCUCCCUUCGCCGUCUAUUGUUCCUUUUGGUCGAGUGUAAUUUACGUUGCAGAAUCGUUUGUGCACGUCUCUAGUGUUGGAGGGCACGCGAAAAUAUGACGUCUUACACUUUACACGUUUCACGUGUCCGAUAUAAAAGGGGUUUGUUUUCUUCUAUUCCUUCUCUUGUCCUUUUUCUUCUUUUCUUUUGUUUCGUUUUCUCUAGUUAGCAGCGAAGAUUAUCCAUUGUAAGUACAACUUGUUCCACCAAACUCAUCGGUCUUUACAAUGUGAUCUAGCCGUUCAGCGGAUGGAUUGUGAUUCGCAGUGGCGUAAUCAAAAACGAUACAAGCAGGUUCGUUUCUGUAAUCUCGAGUCACGGAGAUUUCCGAGCUUUUUUAAGCGAUCCGUGCUUACAUCUUUUCAUGCUUUGGUCUGUAGCGUGGUGUGAACCCACCAUUACAAAUUACACGAAUACGUCGUCGCGUCCGUACGAGUUCCAAUGAGACGCUCGUACUUAUUGCAAGUCGCUGAGUUUCGCAAACUCAUCGGUCGUUAACCUUAUGCGAAAAUGGAUAAGACAGUUGGACUGUAGCAACGGCAACGCCGCCGCCGAGCCGUUCUCUGUAGACAUCGAAACGUUUAACAAGCGGCGACUAAGUGCUUUUAAACGUACGAUUAAACCUUUUUCCUCUGUGUUUCUUGGCGUUAAUGCAGCCGACGAACCAUUUCUAUCAUUCGUUUUCGUCAGAAAUCAGCUCCGUUUCGACGGGUUAAAUAUUCGUCGGUACGAGCUUCUGUCGAUCAAACUGCUUUUGGUUUCAUCUUGACUACUGAUAACAAAUUUUUGUCCAUGAGUAAAUAUUUUGUUGCUGAGAACAUUGCAAAUCAUGAUAUAUCAGAUUGUCCGAAAAGUUUGUUUCAUUUUAUAAGGAAAUACAAUAAUAGAUGCACAACAUUUUUUGUUUUAUAUUAUUUUAUUGAAUUAUGUAUGAUCCCCAUUUUGUUCUAUUGGAACAGAUACCAAUAAAAUCAUACAGAAUAUAAUUAAUAAAUAAUUACAAUAUAUAAUUAUAUUUAUAUUAAUAUAAAUAAUAUCUAAUUAUAUUACAAUAAAUAGAUGAUCCAAUAGGACCAUACAUAAUUCAAUAAAAUAAUAUAAAACAAAAAAUGUUGUACACCUAUUAUUUCCUUAUAAAACGAAAGAAACUUUUGGGGCAACCUAAUACAAUAUAUAAUUAUUUGAGUGAAAUAAUUUCGUAAAACUGUUGUUGAAUAUUUUUAUUUUUUUACAAGUUAAUAUAUAGACUGAUUUUAAUUAUAUAUGUCUCAUUUUCUAGAUCUUUUUGAUAUCUACUUAUGCACCUUUCGUAACAAUGAUUGCUACCUGUUCACGACUUUCGAACACGUAGGUACAUUUUAUUUCAAGCGACCUUCCGAAACAUCAAAUGCAAGAAAAUUGCUGUUUAUAAUGUUUCUCGAUUGUGUAUGUUUCGAUGACUAAUUAAGUUUACUUAGUCUAGUCUAGUAAACUCGUAUCAUCUUUGUACACGUUCGACGUACUACUACAAACACGCGAUGUUUUUUCCAUUUUCCAGAUUCGGUCGCACAACGAAGUGAAUAAUGAGAUAACUGGUCUUGAUAACUUGUAACGAGAUUAUCAUCCGGCAAUGCUAGCUAAUUUUUUACUUCAUAACCAGCGUAAUUGCUAUAGUAUUUGAACGAUCGCCCUAAACUUAUCUUCUGAAUUCUCUCGAUGCUCUCCGUUAAAAAUCUUUCAACUUAUAUAUACUUAUGCUAUGGUGGGAAGUGUCAACGUAGGACCUAUAUAAAUAUAUACAAUACAUUAUACAUGUUCUUUUACACUUUACAUCAACUCGCAUCGAAAUAAAGAUUUUUUCAAUUUAAUUCUUCAACAAUUUUCGAAUGAUUUCAAGCUUUCUCUUACCGAUUCUGAUAAUCAUUAAUAAUUUGUGGUCAAAGAACGACUUUUCAUAUAAAACAGCAAAGUGCAAGUCAUUCAUAUCUGUAUAAUCUAUAUGUUCCAAGUAUCAUUUUGUAUAUUUAUUACUACAAUCUUUUAUUUUAUUUUGUUUUAUUUUAUUUUAUUCUAUUUCAUUUCAUUUCAUUUUAUUUUAUUUCAUUUUAUAUCAUUUUAUUUUAUCACUAUAUAUACCGUUGCAUUGUGUAUUAUGUGCAUUAUGUAAUUGCAGACCAUAACAAAUGUUAUUAAUUCUUACUUUUCCCGUCAGAAUCAAAACCAGCAAUCGGGAUGCUUUUUCUCGUGAAUAAAAAAGAUGUAGAUUAAACAUUUUGUUAUAUUUAACUUUCUUCAUAGUAAAAUUGUGAAUUUGUAAAAUUCAUUUUUUUCCCGGUGUAUGCGUUCAUUAUCGUUUAUACUAACAGGAGGAAAAGAUGUCGGCGAAAAAAGGUCGGGUAGAAAAGAAAAGCAUUAAAUUACUGAAAAAAAUUAUUCAGUGUUCUGUACGUAGAAUUUUCAUCAACCUUGAAUAAUAUUUCAAAUAAUUUAUUAUUUAGAAUAUAUCUCUCCGAAACUGUUUGAGCAAUAUUUCCAUGAUGUUCUAUCGCUGUUUGCACUACAGGUUUUCAUAAACGUGUAGAAUAGAAUAGUAUAGUAUAGUACAUUAUAGUACAUUACAAUAUAAUACUGUAUAAUAUAGUAUGGUAUAAUAUCGUAUGAUAGAAUGCUGUAUUAUAGUAUAGAAUGGUAUGUGUACAUAUACUUACAUGCGUUCACUAGAGAUUUCGAAAGUCGACGCAUAUGGUACGCGGCCCUCUUUAUUAUUCAAAUGACUUCAUUUCUAUGAAUCAUCGCUUCCCGUCUAGUCUUAGCGCAUGGAAAUAUGUAUUAUAAUACAUAUACUUACGUGCAUAUGUAUAUAAUAUAUGUCGGUGAGGUCUAUCGUUGUUACGUUAGGAAAAUGAAAUAAUCAUCUAAUAUUCAAUUCGUCAAGAUUGAUAAAAAGCGUCAAGACUCUUAUGACAUGAAACAUGUUGAGGAAUUAUUAAUGUCCAUGCUCUAUCUUCAUUCAUCGACCAGUUUAACUCUGUCGAAUUGCAUGAAACUUUGAUAACGGCUUUUAUCGAAAUGUAAAAUGGUUGAGAUUUCUCCUUGAAACGUUAACCUUAUAGAACAGUUAUGUCGUGAACUUAUUAUGACGUUUAAUCGGUACAAAUAAUUUCUGCUCGUUAGUUCGAAUAAAAGACAAUUAUCUGAUGGAUUGUGGUAAAAUGCGGUAAAAAUUUGUUAGUGGAAGAUUAUAAUGUUGGUAUACGCACGUAUAUAUACAGAGUAAGUCAAUAAGAAGUACUAUCUUAGAUGAAUUAUGUUGCGUUCAUCAAGAGAUUCAUCGAGUUGAUGCAAUUUUAUUU